CGAGAAUUGGCUCUAGAGUGACGGCUGCUCCGAUCUCGUUGAGUAACUCUUAAAAGCAAGACCUAAAAGUACGAAUCUGUUUCCAAGUAACUUAACCAUAUUCCAGAACAAAGCUCCAGGCUAUUUAUAGGAAUACAAAAAUAUCUCGCGCAAUCCAUCAGCGGCCUCUGGAAGCAGAUCCAUGCCCAAAUCGGUAGUGGAACCAUAUACGUGACUAAUAAAUACAAGAAAAGACGCCCGGGAAGUCGGGAACUCACAGGAAGACGCCCAGGGAGGGCUUUAAACACGAGAGGAAUGUGGUCAGAGCACCCGUUAGGUCAACGCGCCUUUGUCGCGUUCAGCUCUGUGACGCGGCACGUCAUCCUGGGGUAGUCUGAUUCCUGUUUUUAGAAACAGCGAGGUGGUAGGGUGCGGAUACUGCUGCUGCGGCCAGGAGCGUGCCAUUGUUGGCAUCACUCUGUUAUCUCGGUAUUCCUGGAGCAAUCCGGAAACACUACAAACAAGUCCUCUUAACCGCAUUUUCCGAGAGUCCCCAGCGUCCCGAACACGUCUUGGAUAUUCCGGGAACCGGGCGGCGUGCGCUGCGGUCACAGAGGUUGCCGGCCUGGUAUUUUCCAUCCUCACCGGAAUCUAAGGCUCAAUGAGCUUCACAGGUCUGUUACCGUGGAGCCCGAGAAAACACUCCCAUUCGCGUCACAACGGAGCUCACAGGGCAGACUGGGGCCCAGGCUACAGACCGGGACAAUCUAAUCAGGGCCCACCAGGCCGCGCCCCCUCGGCCUCCGCGGCGGCCUCUGUUUUCUCCAGGGAGGGUCUGGGGUCAGUGGCUGGCAGAGAGAUGCUUCUGUUGAGCCAUUUAAUCACGUGGCAUCUCGGUACAUUCCACGCCGCGGCCAACAUCCAGCCCUCCCCGCCAGGCCGAGGGCAAGGCCAGAGCCAGGGCCCGGGUGCUCGCACCUUGGUACUUACUCCGGGCCCCGGGGUUUCUGUGAGUGAGAGCCGGGCCCUGGGCAGCUCCGCCAGCCGAGGAGGAAACUGCCAGACUCCCCACCUCUGCGGGCCGGGGAUCCCCCCGGAGCUGCGGUUGAUGCUUUGGGACCUCCCGCCUCCUCCCCGGGAUCACCUACUCAGCCCAGGCCUCUCUCAAUCACUCUGUCUUGGAGAGACCCGUGCCGGACGGGGGACGGAGAGAAGACCCCCAGUCUCCCUCCAGCGCCGCGCCCCCCGGACCUUGGGGCUGCCCCCGUAACCUGUCUCCGGCUCCGCGUGGGCCCCCGCUUGACGCCCUCCGCUGACGGGGCCUCGCUGACCUGGGAGCCCGCGUGGGUCACGGCGACGCGGCGGUGCCUGGAGUCUCCACUCUCCAGGGCCACGGGGCCUGCUCUGCAACGAGCCAGACGGCCCGGCCCGAGUUCCCAAGCGCCGGAGUCAGCACCAGGCCUCGGCCACGCCCGCCCAGGCCCCGCAGCCUUCCACCCACGUGGGACGGAACCGGGCGGCUUCGCCCAGGACCCUGCCCACGGUGUUGGUCAUAGCCCUGCCCGUGGCCGCACACGUCUCGACAGGUUACUUGGGAGUUUCCAAGACCGUGGGUGCUUCUCCCCGGCCUGACUUCCACCUGGGUAGACGGCAGCCUCUGACCGAGCAGAAAAACCAGUUUGUGAGGCACUUACCCAGGCAGCCUAUCCAAAAGGAGGGAGCUCUCCGCGACUUUUGGGGCAGGUUCAGGCAGAGUGUGGCCGCGCGCAACAGGACGGGCAAAAUCCUUAGGAAGCAAGUCUGAUAUUCCGGAAGAAUCGUUCCCAAGUCUGCGGGGACCUCACCGCGCCCAUCGGCCCCAUCUGUUAGAAUCGCGUCUCACCCAACUCUUUCGGACGGCUGCGCGACUUAGGGUGUUCUUGCUGGGUGGCACCUCACAUAUGAGCUGCAACUAACUCUAAAAAUCAGUUCUGAGUUUUAAGAAGUUCUCUUGUUUGAUUCAUGAGGGACUAUAUAGCAGAGAAAACAAUUUUUCUUAACGUUUUAUUUAUUUGUUUGAGGGAGAAAGUUCACCCAGUGCCAACAGGUGUGUAUCNGGGGGGGGGGGGGGUACUAGGGGAGGGAGAAGGACAAGCAGACUGUGCACUGAGCAGGGGCUCAAGGCCGCUGGACCCCAGGACCCUGAGAUCUUGACCCUCAGGGAAACCAAGACUGAGUUGUUUAAUAGUGGACCGUGCCACUCAGGUGCCCCAUGAGAAAACCAUCUCUUUUAAAAGUGGGACAUUAGGGGACGCCCGGGUGGCUCAGUGGCAGAGCAUCUGCCUUUGGCCCAGGUUGUGACCCCGGGGUCCCGGGAUCGAGUCCCACAUUGGGCUCCCCUGCUUCUCCCUCUGCCUGUGUCUCUGCCUCUCUCUCUCUCUCUCUCUCAUGAAUAAAUAAAUAAAAUCUUUUUAUAAAAAUGGGGAC
rnacentral:lncRNA from 1 species